rnacentral:rRNA from 1 species
CCUAGGGGUGGCUGCAGUGGGGAAUAUUGCGCAAUGGGCGAAAGCCUGACGCAGCGACGCCGCGUGAGGGAUGAAGGUCUUCGGAUCGUAAACUUCUAUCAGCAGGGAAGAAAAUGACGGUACCUGACUAAGAAGCCCCGGCUAACUACGUGCCAGCAGCCGCGGUAAUACGUAGGGGGCAAGCGUUAUCCGGAUUUACUGGGUGUAAAGGGAGCGUAGACGGGCCAGCAAGUCUGAUGUGAAAACCCGGGGCCCAACCCCGGGAGUGCAUUGGAAACUGCGGGCCUGGAGUGCCGGAGAGGUAAGCGGAAUUCCUAGUGUAGCGGUGAAAUGCGUAGAUAUUAGGAGGAACACCAGUGGCGAAGGCGGCUUACUGGACGGUAACUGACGUUGAGGCUCGAAAGCGUGGGGAGCAAACAGGAUUAGAUACCCUGGUAGUC